rnacentral:tRNA from 1 species
AGUAGAAUGGCUGAGAUUAAUUAGGUGAUAGAUUGUAAAUCUAUAAAGGGGUAUGUACUCUUCUACUA